UGGGGAAUUGUUCGCAAUGGGCGCAAGCCUGACGACGCAACGCCGCGUGGAGGAUGAAGACCUUCGUGUCGUAAACUCCUUUCGAUCGAGACGAAUGGCCUCCGGGUGAACAAUCCGGAGGAGUGACGGUACCCUCAAAGGAAGCACCGGCUAACUCUGUGCCAGCAGCCGCGGUAAUACAGAGGGUGCGAGCGUUAAUCGGAAUCACUGGGCGUAAAGCGCACGUAGGCGGAUUUGUAAGUCAGGGGUGAAAUCCCGGGGCUCAACCUCGGAACUGCCUUUGAUACUGCGGAUCUCGAGUCCGAUAGAGGUGAGUGGAAUUCCUAGUGUAGAGGUGAAAUUCGUAGAUAUUCGGAGGAACACCAGUGGCGAAGGCGACUCGCUGGCAUCUUGCCGACGCUGAGACGCGAAAGCGUGGGGAGCAAACAGGAUUAGAUACCCUCGUAGUCCCUGAGCGGGCUGGCAAGGCGCAU
rnacentral:rRNA from 1 species